GGCGGCGUAGCUCAGCUGGUUAGAGCACACGGUUCAUACCCGUGGUGUCCGGGGUUCGAAUCCCUGCGCCGCUA
rnacentral:tRNA from 1 species